rnacentral:rRNA from 1 species
UUUCCUACGGGUGGCUGCAGUGAGGAAUAUUGCACAAUGGGGGAAACCCUGAUGCAGCAACGCCGCGUGCGGGACGAAGGCCUUCGGGUCGUAAACCGCUUUUCUGGGGAAAGAGCAAGGACGGUACCUCAGGAAUAAGUCUCGGCUAACUACGUGCCAGCAGCCGCGGUAAAACGUAGGAGGCGAGCGUUAUCCGGAUUUACUGGGCGUAAAGCGCACGCAGGCGGCUCUGUGAGUCGGACGUGAAAGCUCCCGGCUUAACCGGGAGAGGCCGUUCGAUACUGCGGGGCUUGAGGUAGGGAGAGGAAUGCGGAAUUCCCGGUGUAGUGGUGGAAUGCGUAGAUAUCGGGAGGAACACCUGUGGCGAAAGCGGCAUUCUGGCCCUCACCUGACGCUGAGGUGCGAAAGCGUGGGUAGCAAACAGGAUUAGAUACCCUAGUAGUCUG